GUAGAGAGUUUCCAAAUUUGCAUUUGCACAAGAAAAAAAGAGAGACAAAAGUCGUGUUGGGCGGGAAAAUGAAGCUUCUCACGAAUAUCGAGAAAAAAGAAGAAGGUGAUUUUUGAAGCCCGCCUCGCUAAUUUCGCCUUUCACUCUCUCAUUUCUCUCUUUCCUAUUUUGGCGUCUCAUCUCCCCCAGCUCGUUCUUGAACCCUACAAUUCAGAAGAAAGUUAAGCUUCUUAUUACAUUCAAAGAUGGUGGUUCCGUGCGUUGCCGAGCUUUCCGAUCCUGUCAAUGAUGCGAUGGUCCCGAGGCGUUGCAGUGCGAGAAUAAAAAAAUUGAAGAGUGAGCAGGAAGCUCAGCGUGAGCGUGAGAGUCAGAGAGUACGGUGCCGCUCCAAUGACGACUCAGUUCUUGGGAAGAAAACCAAGGUUUAUAAGAAGAGCAAGCUUGUUACUCCCUCACAAGCUCAAACUCAAGCUCCUAAUAAUGACGUCACAGUUGCCACUGUUGAUAACGAUGACGUCACUAUAACCAAUGUUGGUGCGCCAAUUGACUGUACCGAUCAUCCUGUCCCCGAAAACUCUCUGAAUCCCCAGCUUAGCGGGAACGGGACUGAAAAAAGUUCGCAUGCCAGGGUGACAGAGACUCUGCGGAUAUUUAACAAGCAUUAUCUCCAUUUCGUUCAGGAAGAGGAGAUAAGAUGUGGAAGAGCCCAAGCAGAUCAAAAAACAAAGAAACAUUCAAAAUCUAAGGAAGCCGAAGAUGAUGGUAAACGCAGUUCCAAGCGGCCUGAUCUAAAGGCGAUUUCCAAGAUGAUAUCAGAAAAGGAGGUUUUGAAUCGUGAGAGAAUUGGCUCCCUUCCAGGCAUUGAUGUUGGUCAUCAGUUCUUUUCGCGUGCUGAGAUGGUCGUUGCGGGAUUCCAUAACCAUUGGCUAAACGGCAUAGAUUGUGUUGGCCAAUCUGCAGGGAAAAAAGGGGAGUACAAAGGCUACAGUUUGCCCCUUGCGGUUUCAAUUGUCGUAUCGGGACAGUAUGAAGACGACCAGGACAACUAUGAAGAAGUGGUCUAUACUGGUCAAGGUGGAAAUGAUCUGCUUGGUAACAAGCGCCAAAUAAAGGAUCAAGUCAUGGAACGGGGUAAUUUAGGACUUAAGAACUGUAUGGAGCAAUCUGUACCUGUAAGGGUUACACGUGGACAUCGGUGUGUGAAUAGUUACGUUGGAAAGGUUUAUACUUAUGAUGGCUUGUAUAAGGUUGUAAAUUACUGGGCGGAGAAGGGUAUUUCUGGAUUCACUGUCUAUAAGUUUCGAUUAAAGCGUAUUGAAGGACAACCUGUGUUGACCACCAACCAGGUACAUUUUACUCGAGGCUGUACUCCCAACUCCAUUUCUGAAAUACGAGGGUUGGUAUGUGAGGACAUUUCUGGUGGACUGGAGGAUAUUCCCAUUCCCGCAACUAAUUUAGUUGAUGAUCCACCGGCAGCACCGUCAGGUUUUACUUAUAGCAGGGAUAUCGUAUGUGCCAAAGGUAUAAAGUUCCCUUCAGCUCCCACAGGAUGCAACUGUCAUGGUUCAUGUCUAGAUCCAAGAGUUUGUUCUUGCGCUAAACUCAAUGGUUCUGAAUUUCCCUAUGUUCAUAAAGAUGGUGGAAGACUUAUUGAGCCAAAGGCUGUAGUCUUUGAAUGUGGUCCGAAUUGUGGAUGCGGACCUGCCUGUGUCAACCGUACUUCUCAGAAAGGAUUAAGAUAUCGGCUUGAGGUUUUUCGUACUCCAAACAAGGGAUGGGGUGUGAGAUCAUGGGAUUAUAUUCCUUCUGGUGCAACCAUUUGUGAAUACACUGGUCUUUUGAAGAAGACAGAUCAGAUUGAUCCUGCAGCAGAUAACAACUAUGUUUUUGACAUUGAUUGCUUGCAAACAAUGAAAGGGCUCGAUGGGAGGGAGAGACGGUUGCGUGAGGUUUCUUUGCCGGGAUAUUGGCACAAUGAUUCUGAGAAGAUGUCAGACGGAGGGCCAGAAUAUUGCAUUGAUGCAGUCUCUGUUGGCAAUGUUGCAAGGUUUAUUAAUCAUAGUUGUCAACCUAAUUUAUUUGUUCAAUGUGUGUUAAGCACCCAUCAUGACAUUGGUUUGGCAAGAGUGGUGCUAAUGGCAGCUGACAACAUACCUCCUCUGCAGGGUCCGUUAUGGAAAGUGGGGCUACGAUAAGAAGAUUGUGUUCAAGAAUCACGGGAAAUGUAAAAGAUACUAAAGGGUUAUAUGAGAGAUUCUUUGUAGAGAACAGUGAGAACAUGUUCUGUAGCUUUUCUAAAGGAACUCACAUAUGAUUAUGGCUAUGUUCUGGAUAGUGUUAUGGAUCGUGAGGGGAAAGUUAAACAAAUGGCUUGCUACUGUGGUGCUGCUGACUGUCGUAAACGCUUGUUUUAAUGGGAUAUGUGUUGUCUUUAGCUCACAAUUACAUAUUUUUUGGGUUUCCAUAUGCUGAUUUCUCAUCUUCUGCACUUGUGUGUAGUGGAUACUAACGUUGGGAAAUUUGGUCAAGUGUUAUAUAUUGUAUUUUCCAAUGAGAAACGAACUUGUUAAUUUGAUUUCACAUUCAUCACCUAA